CGGGCUUCUAGGAAGAUCUGCUUUGUGUGCAAGAAAAAGGGAGCUGCUAUCAACUGCCAGAAGGAUCAGUGCCUCAGAAACUUCCAUCUGCCUUGUGGCCAAGAAAGGGGUUGCCUUUCACAAUUUUUUGGAGAGUACAAAUCAUUUUGUGACAAACAUCGCCCAACACAGAACAUCCAACAUGGGAAUGUGGGGGAGGAAAGCUGCAUCUUAUGUUGUGAAGACUUAUCCCAACAGAGUGUUGAGAACAUCCAGAGCCCGUGUUGUAGUCAAGCCAUCUACCACCGCAAGUGCAUACAGAAAUAUGCCCACACAUCAGCAAAGCAUUUCUUCAAAUGUCCACAGUGUAACAAUCGAAAAGAGUUUCCUCAAGAAAUGCUGAGAAUGGGAAUUCAUAUUCCAGACAGGUAGUGGGAACCCCAAAGCAGGAACUGAGCCAGGGAGUGGGUUGCCUAGAUUUCUAGAGAGGAGGUGAGUGAGAGGAUAGUUCAGAGAAUGAGAGCAGCAGAGGCACUGAUAAGAAGGAAGGGGAGGAGGGAGUGCUUUUCAAUUAUCAAAACAGAAGGGAGGGGGAAGAAGUUUGCGGGGGAAUGGGGUGCUUGUUGCUGAAAAGGGCAUUUGGGGAAUCAGAAUUCCCUGGGGGGUUGAGUUAUUGGAUUCCAGAGUGGAACUAAGGAACCUGCAUGCAUGUUCCAUUCAUCCUGCUUCAACCCUCUCCCACUGCCAGGCCACUUGGCCAGCCUUGUUGGAAGUGUUCAGGCAGCCUACUGAACUCUUGCUAUGCUUAGCUUGGGUUCUUCCUAACUCCUCCCUGAUGGACAAAAGUUUCACCAACCCAUUAUGUUCUUAUUCACUGUUUCUUCUCCCACUGCAGAGAUGCUGCCUGGGAACUCGAGCCAGGGGCUUUCUCAGACUUAUAUCAGCGCUAUCAGCACUGUGAUGCCCCCAUCUGUCUGUAUGAACAAGGCAGAGACAGCUUUGAGGAUGAAGGGUAGGGGAAGGCUUCUGGCUAGAAAGAGCUCUCAUCAGUGCUAUCUUGGAGUUAGACCUUGGCACAGUUACUAGAAGUAAGAAAUUCACUCUUGUAUGCAGACCUUAGGAUAAACACGAUUGCUAAGUCUCAUUCUUGACCAGCCCCUGACUCACUUGUGUGCACGUGAACACGUCUCCCCUGCAAGGUCCGCUUCACCUUGUGCCCAGUGGAGAGACAUUCAGAGCCAAUUCCUUUCCUAAUCUACCUUUCAAGGGGUUACGACUGAUGGCAGGCUUCUGGGAUCAGCACUCAUCCUCUCUGAGCCAUACAUUCAUCUUGGGUAAAAUGUGCUGUAAAAAAUGCCUGGCCCAUAGCAAACAUCCAAGCAUGGCAGUUGGUGUUCUGUAUGUCUCCACAACCCUUCCUGGGCUCUUCCUCUAGGAGGUGGUGCCUCAUUCUGUGUGCUACAUGCGGAUCCCACGGAACCCACAGGGACUGCUCCUCUCUUAGAUCUAACAGUAAGAAAUGGGAGUGUGAGGAGUGUUCACCUGCUGCAGCCACAGACUACAUACCUGAAAACUCAGGGGACAUCCCUUGCUGCAGCAGCACCUUCCACCCUGAGGAACAUUUCUGCAGAGACAACACCUUGGAAGAGAAUCCGGGCCUUUCUUGGACUGAUUGGCCAGAACCUUCCUUAUUAGAAAAGCCAGAGUCCUCUCGUGGCAGGAGGAGCUACUCCUGGAGGUCCAAGGGUGU
rnacentral:sRNA from 1 species